GGAUAAGUUGUGUUAAAGCUGUAAUUGAAUCUGUAUUUGUGUGAGUUGUGAUUUCCCAAACGUAUAGCUUUUUACGGAAUCGGAAUCGGAGGUCCGGAAGUCCUCCAACGGCGGAAAAUGCGGAGAAUUCUGCAUUCUGCUUCGUGUUAGCGCAGGAACAGCUUUCUGUCUUGCGUUACCGGUUAACCCAGGGUGUUAACCGGUUAACACUGUUGUGAGUUGUGAAAAUAUUGUUGUUCUGUCUGCGUUAACCGGUUAACCC
rnacentral:lncRNA from 1 species